GUCUCUUCGGAGACAUCUGAUAAAAUUGGAACGAUACAGAGAAGAUUAGCAUGGUCUUUCAAAAAAAAAAAAAUAUAUAUAUAUAUAUAGUCAAAGUUUGU
rfam:Beta vulgaris subsp. vulgaris chromosome 1, whole genome shotgun sequence.